rnacentral:rRNA from 1 species
AUGGUCUCCACAGUGUACGGUCCACAAGGAGACGAAGAUAAAGAGAGGUUUCUGAAUGAGAUUGUUCAGUUCGGUGACCAAGUUCAACUGCCGUGGAUCCUCAAUGGGGACUUCAAUCUUGUGUGCAGCGAGGAGGAACGCAGUUCGCGGAGGGUCAACAGAAGGCUGAUGCACAAGUUCAGACACACUAUCAACAGGUUGGGUCUCCAUGACAUGCCAAUGGUGGGGAGACGCUUCACGUGGUGCAACCAGCAAGAAAACUCCAUCAUGGCCAGGCUGGACAGAGUAUUUUUUAACAACUCCUGGGAGGAUUUAUAUCCUAUUAGCGACCUGCUCCCGCUAAGCUCCACGAUUUCCGACCACUGCCCUUUGCUUCUCACAUGCUCUUUGGCGAGGCCGCGGGCGCGCAUAUUCCGUUUCGAG